rnacentral:lncRNA from 1 species
CAGCCGCAACACACUCCCUUUCCCCACCAAGCAACAACCUAACACCUACAAGAGAACGCCAUCCCCAGCCAUUUCUAUCACCAUACGACAAACCUCCCACCAGAAAUCAGACACAAGACCAAAAACGCCACGCACAAGAACACCAUCUGCGACACCCCUCCCUUCCCUAACCAUCUCCAGCCGUCAAUCCCUCUCUAUUUCACAUCUGCCGCCACCGGCCACUUCAAGCCCGCCGGAAAUCGACCACAAAUAUAGAUGCGUUUUGCUUCUUCCCUUCAGAUUUCAAUUUCAGUAUUUUUUUUUUGAAAAAUGGAAAUUAUUUGAGGUUUGAGUGAUUGAGGUGCGGAGUUUAGUUCGAAUUUGCUGUCGCCCGUCGUUCUGGUCGCGGUUCAUUCUUGUCGUUGUUUUCUCGCUCAAAUUUUGGAGUCAAGACCUGUGUAGUUGCUGAUUUUUAUUGCUAUCGAGGUUCACUCUUCUCCCCUUUCCUACGGUUUGCACUGUUAUUUUGUGUGUUGUGAUGGAUUUCCUUGAUAUUGGUCCGUAGUCAUAAUUUGUAAUUGUGGUUAGAGCUCUUAGACUUGCUUAGCUAUUUAAUAGUAUUCCUAUGUUAAUCUCUGUUAGGCUUAGGCUGCCAUGUUUCCUACUAUAAACUAAACUUGAGGUUUCAUUCCAAAUCUUAGAUUCACAUAUUUGACCUCUUCCAUUCUAACUGAAUAAUAAUUCUUUGUUCCAUAAAUCUGUGGAAUAGUUUUAAUUUGAUGAAUAUAUGGAAUGGUUUUGAAAACGUGAUUCUUUGUUUAUUUGGCCAACUCUUGGUCCCAAUGGAAGGCACAGUAGCGUUUUCUUCAAGUAUUUACAUAUAAUUUUGAAAUUUGAAAUCAUAUUUUUGUGGUAAGUAUUCUCCUUUCACUCUUGGUAUCAAUUUUGCCUUUUCAUUAAUACUUUUAGCAUGUUUAAAACACUCUCUUAAAUAAAGAGGCAUUUUCAUGUGUUAGUGCUUAAAAAUUACUAGUAGCGCUAGUGUUCAAUUACAGUGGCAUAGUUUUUCUUCUAACGUAAGUUAAAAUGAAAACUCUAUAGUUAAAUAUUCAAUUCACUUUAGGUUGUGAUCGUACUUUUGCCUUGGGUUAGUAGGUCAUUAAGAGAAAAGUUUUCAGUGGGAUUUCCUCGCUAAGUUUUGUGGUUUACGUUUUGAGUUGCCUUUUAUAUGCCUUGCUAUUUUCGUCGUCUCCUACUUCUUCUUUUUUUGUUUUGUUUCGUUUGUUGUUUUGUUUUGAAUGCUAUUCUUCUCAUCGUAUGCACAUCUCUUAUUUGAAUGACGAUGUUGAGCCGUAGAGGGUGAAAUCACAAAUGAAAUGAAGUUGAACAUGAGCAUGAAAUAUCUUUAUUUAUUUUAGCUUAAUUUUUACUUUUCUUUCAUAAUCGCUAGGAUCAUGUUUAGGCCGACCACGCCUGGGUAGGCAAUCUUAAGGUCUUUUUCUAUUUGUUUGUUUUUGGUUUCGAGGUGAGAGGUCGCUCCCUUUAUUUUAUAUUCAGGGGAAUGCCCCGUAGAUCUUGUAUAUAUUUUUAUCCGGGGUAUGCCCCGAAGUAUUUGUAUUUGGAGGCCGAAAGUAGAACUCGUAGUAUUCUAAUUUUAUUUUCAUUUUUUAUUAGGUGGGACGACCUCGAGCCUCGUGUAUGUUUAUUUUCUUUUUCGUGUUUAUUUUUACCUCAAUUUGAAUAUUCUUAAAAGCCAACUUGAUCAUGUACGCAACCGUACUAGUUACGGAACUCGGGGAAUGCCUAACACCUUCUCCCUGAGUCAAAUGAACUCCUUUACCCGAAUCUCUGGUGCAGACUUAGUUUUUGAGUCUCAAGUGUUUUGAAAGGAAAAAAAAUUAUUUUUAGAAAAACGGUGGCCUGACACACCGAGAUCAAAUGUCAGGUGGUGACUCUGAGUUAAUCCUUUUGAACACAAUUUUUUUAUCACUUUCAAAAAUUGAAAACCU